rnacentral:rRNA from 1 species
UGGAGCUUGCUCCAGUUAGCCUAGUGGCGCACGGGUGAGUAACGCGUGGGAACCUGCCUAGAAGUGAGGAAUAACAGUUGGAAACGACUGCUAAUACCGGAUGAUGACGUAAGUCCAAAGAUUUAUCGCCCAAGGAUGAGCCCGCGUAGGAUUAGCUAGUUGGUGGGGUAAAGGCCUACCAAGGCGACGAUCCUUAGCUGGUCUGAGAGGAUGAUCAGCCACACUGGGACUGAGACACGGCCCAGACUCC